AUAGAUCUGGUGAGAGAGAGAAAAUGUAGCCAAACGUUAAAAACUGGUGAAUCUAGGUGAAAGGUGUGUAGGUGUUCAUUAUAUAUUGUAUUGUUUCUGUAAUUUUUCCCCAGGUUACAGAUUUUUCCAAAUAAAAUAUUGAUGAGAAGUGAAAAAAUUAAGCUACAGCCUAAUAAAAAUCUAAAAUUUAACUUCCCCAUCAAUAAUACAGAAUGAGCAGUGCAAAAGAAAAAAGUUGGUGUAAAUAUGAGGUCAUUAUUGCUAGGUUAAUUAAAUGAGGCGAGUUUAGCAGCCAGAGCCGCAAGAUCCGAAUCUGUUCAAGUCUGAGCGCUGCAGUUGGCGCCACCUGGCGGCAGUUGUCUGCUUCGGCUUAAAUAAGGAUGGUGAUUGUUCUGGCUCCUAUCGGAAGUGAUGCCAAGGAUCUCCAGGUAGUAGCAUUCAUUUCCCUGACUUGAUCCGGGAGUUUGGCCAGGAGUAUUCUGGGAACAAUGAGACCCACCCUUCCUUUUCAUACUUUCGAAGCAGGGUUGCGAGUCGUGGGCAAGGAUGGAGAUUAGAGUCAUCUGGGUCCAGUCCACAUGGGAAGCAGAGGCUGCCUGGCUGUGACAGUGGCAGCAGGCUUAGCUGCUCCCUGCCUGCAACAAAGUCCCUGGCUACGGGGAACCUAACAUCCAUCCGUUCAAUGGAGAAGUAUUUGGAAGAGUUUGAUGCAGUUCCGGGUGUCAAAUCAUGGCGCAGACGUGGACGUCAUUUAGCCAGUCACAUGAAAGCUCCAGAAGAUCCCACUGUUUGGAGAACUGCAGUUUAUUUAUCCAUUCUGCUGUUGAUAAGACGUUCCGUUGUUUCCAGCUGUUCAUUUCAAACUGUGCUACAGUUAGCAUCAUUGUAUCUGUCUCCAUGCACACGUCUGAGAGUUUUCCUAUGUAAAAGGAGAAUU
rnacentral:lncRNA from 1 species